UGCAACACACUAAUCUAGCCACAUCUAGUCAUGGGAAUCGAAAGAGGUGACACGAUACAGUGCUAGCUUUUCCGGGGAAUCAAACAUUUAGGAAAAAUAAAAAGAUUAAAGAGAGAAAUGAUCACUUAACAGGUGCGAAUGUAGUGCAAGUGGAGUCGCUUUAAAUGUAAGAUGCACGUUUCAGAUGACUCAACGUGUCUGCCCCCUGGAAACAGCAGUCUUCGCAUACAAAAUUAAAACGUUUUUGUGGCGAAAGUAUUAAAGCAUUUCAAAACAAUUAUCGCAACAAAAGAAGCGGAACAGUAAAUCUAAGGAGACCCAUAUGAAUGUGAAAAGGUAAUUUUUGAAAACAAAAUAAAAGCGAUAAAAUAUUAUUUGAUUUUCACGGAUUAUCAAUUGAUAAAGGAGUUAUGCAACAGUUGACCUUGUCAUCGUUUAGAAAUGCUUUUUAGCAUGAAGUGGGAUGAAAAUCCUAUUCGUUCCAGGUAAAAAUAAACUGUAUAAAUAGGCUGUUCUAAACGGGAACUUGACAUUCGAAUUCAGCGAUCACUAAAACCAUAAUGAAGCUCUACCUUGGAAUCGUUCUGGCCGUUGUCUUGCCGCUCCUUGUGGCUGCAAACCCCUCCAAAUCCCCGAAGGGUGAUUCGCCAACUGGAGCACCCUAAGCGGAUGUUCGACUUUCGCCUUCACAAAGCCAUUUUGGACUUGCCUUAAUCUUGCAGAUGAUUUUUGUUGAUCAAUAAAUCAGGCUUUCACAUUAGUCCUCUCCUGUGUCUUAUUUUUCCCAUUUCAUUUAUGAAAUCAACUUUUAUAAUUAUUUGAUUAUUGAAUAACAAUAUGCCGACUGAUCGAAGGACCGACUCGGCUUCCGAUUGAGUUCUAGAACGUUUCCAAACAUUUCGGGGAGAGUCCUGGAAAUCUCUUGUUGUAUUUUGUGGGCACUGACCGAUUCCCGUUUGGCUCCCGUAUGCACAAAGCGGAGGGGAAGUGGAGCAAGUGGCCAGCGGUAAGGUAGAGACAAAGCGGACGUCAGCAAAGGGGGCGGUCACAUAGAAAUUUAUAACACACAUGCUGUAAACAUGUUCAUCAGUUUUUGCUGCUCUGUAAAGCUGGAUGUAAAGCCCGCCACACAAAGGCCGGUGCACCAGCAACGUGCGCUGCGGUGUGCUCACGUGUUGGGGCACACAAAACAAAACAGUACAAGCGCAAUGCAGGGAUACGAGAAACAGCAACAAAAAGAAAGAAAAAAAUGUUAUUGUAUGCAGCAACAAUUGGCAGCGGUGGCAACCGUCUGCGACUGCGACUCGACUGGUUGCUAUCUAGCAUAAAGCUCCACACGGACGCUUUUUGUAUUCCCCAUCGCGCGCUCUUGGAUCUCAUACGUGUAUUCCCCAUUUGCUACCUCUCAAUGGAUACUUGUGAGGAACUAAGAGCGUCGGGACCCGGUAGCUGCAAAUAAUAAAAGGAUGAUAGUCAAAGUUUAAUGACAGUUCAAAUGAUGUUGCCGCCGCUGUCCCAGCUGCUCCCCCUGAUGCAGCAGCGCUGUUGUUUUUGCUGCAGUGCUGCACUUUCCGAUGUGGCAGCAAACAAUUGCACGUGGUUACACUUUCAGUGCACCUCUGGUGGGUGGUUACGAAGCGAUUGUCGUUUAGGAUGUCAAGGAGAUACUAUGUAGAUCAAUCUUCAUUAAAGCCUUGGAAGAGUAUCGCAAUGUCAGGAAAUGGAAAAUGAAAAUUCCUUCUCGUUUUUUAUGCAUUAUUUUUGUGCAUCUCUUUGUUGCUCUGUGUGCGCUCUGCUGCCGCUGAUAUUAUUAUGAUGGUUGCAGGCAACACGAUGUUGCAACAUGCGCUGAAACAUAAUACAUUUUCAUGCAUGAUUUCUCACAUUUCAUGUGAUGGCUGGCACUUGAUGUGCCACAUGGGGCGUAUGCCCAAUGACCAUCACCCAUCGGCCGCCGACUGAAAAGUGCAUUUAAAUAUUAAAGUAAAAUUUUAACAUUG